rfam:Rubella virus gene for E1 protein, partial cds, strain:HS.
UACUUGCACGGCGCUAUAGCGCCGCGCUAGUGGGCCCCCGCGCGAAACCCGCAUUAGCCCACUAGAUU